rnacentral:rRNA from 1 species
GAAGAUUUAUUCAAGAAUUUUGUGUAAAAUGUCGGCGAGCGGCGGACGGCUGAGUAACGCGUAGGAAUUUGCCCCAAAGUGAGGAAUAACUGCCCGAAAGGGUAGCUAAUGCCGCAUAUGGUCUUCGGAUUAAAGCCUUCGGGCGCUUUGGGAGAAGCCUGCGUUGGAUUAGGUAGUUGGUAGGGUAAUGGCCUACCAAGCCGACGAUCCAUAGCUGGUCUGAGAGGAUGACCAGCCAGACUGGAACUGAGACACGGUCCAGACUCCUACGGGAGGCAGCAGUGAGGAAUCUUCCACAAUGGGCGAAAGCCUGAUGGAGCAACGCCGCGUGCAGGAUGAAGGCCUUCGGGUUGUAAACUGCUUUUAUAAGUGAUGAUUAUGACAGUAACUUAUGAAUAAGGAUCGGCUAACUACGUGCCAGCAGCCGCGGUCAUACGUAGGGUGCAAGCAUUAUCCGGAGUGACUGGGCGUAAAGAGUUGCGUAGGCGGUUUAAUAAGUGAAUAAUGAAACCUGGUGGCUCAACCAUACAGACUAUUAUUCAAACUGUUAAACUCGAGAAUGGUAGAGGUAACUGGAAUUUCUAGUGUAGGAGUGAAAUCCGUAGAUAUUAGAAGGAACACCAAUGGCGUAGGCAGGUUACUGGACUAUUUCUGACGCUAAGGCACGAAAGCGUGGGGAGCGAACCGGAUUAGAUACCCGGGUAGUCCACGCCGUAAACGAUGGAUACUAGCUGUUGGAGGUAUCGACCCCUUCAGUAGCGAAGCUAACGCGUUAAGUAUCCCGCCUGUGGAGUACGGCCGCAAGGCUAAAACAUAAAGGAAUUGACGGGGACCCGCACAAGCGGUGGAUCAUGUUCUUUAAUUCGAUGAUAACCGAUAAACCUUACCAGGUCUUGACAUCCUUGGAAUCUUUCAGAAAUGAGAGAGUGCUUUUUAAGAACCA